UUUUUUUUUUCCUCAGAUGAUCACACCCACUUUGCUUCACUUUCAUGUCCAGAGCUGCUUAGACUGAUUUCUGCAAAGUGCACAGGCAUUUUCAUGCUGAGGAUAAAGAUACAGAUUUUUAAAACAUAUUCUUAUGCAAGGAAGGAAAAAGUGUCGGUGAAUGACUUCAUAUUUCUAUUGUGACUUCUAUGUGCUCUGCACGGUUGCUGGAGUUCAGAAAACAUUGGAAAGAGUUAAAUGAGAAUGCAUAUGAGGACCAUGAUCGCUUGUCUGGACCCAGAAAAUAUUUCCCAUUUGCUACACAGAUGCCGUCUCAUCCUUCCAGAGUUCAAGACUUCAGCAGAAAAAAAAAUCACCUCAUUAAAGGAAAAUUGUGCCUUAUCCCCACUACUCGAAGAUGCAACCAUCUGCCUGGUCACAGCCACUUUUUUCCUUUUUUUCUCACUCCAUCGUAUGUGUGUGUGGUGGGGCAGGGGAUAAGGGGAAUAAUCUCUCUCCAGUAUAAGAAGACAUUUUCAUUUAGAAAGAUAUUGCUAGCAAUUACUUUAGAAAGAUGGUGUGACAGAAACAACAAAGUCGAGACAGUUACUACUUAAGAUAUGUGACUGAAUUCCUGAGGUGCUAGAAUCUGAUUCUCAGUAUCUGAUUCCCUUUCUAAAAUGGUAAGAGGAAUUUUGUUGUUUUCUUGUUUUUGGCUGUCUGUUUUUGAAAGGGAAAGAAUAUCUCACAUCAUCCUGUUCUGAUCAAUAACAUAAUAAAAUCACAUUUCUGAAAACUUCAAA
ensembl:lncRNA LINC02740 long intergenic non-protein coding RNA 2740